rnacentral:ribozyme from 11 species
AAAAAAAAAAAAUCAUCAAAAAUAAAGAAAGAGCUUAUUAUAUCUACUACUUCAUCUUAUCUGCUUCUUCUUCUUUCUUCUUCUGUUUGGUGUGGGUGAUGAUAAAUUAUAUAAGUUGAAGAAAGUUUUG